AAGAUCAUACUUCACAGGAUCAUUUCUGUAGUAUGCAUCGUCCCCUCCAGGUGCAAAUCUGGAGUCGUCAUCGGCCACGAUGAUGAGACUUGUUCAUUCACCUGAGCGUGAGAUGGCUAGUUAUCUAUCGCUCCGCGGUAAUGAUAAUCUAGCAACGAUGAUCGCUUACGGUUCGCCGGAUGGUGGGUGAACAGUCUGAGUGGU